UGCCAGACUCCUACGGGAGGCAGCAGUGGGGAAUAUUGCGCAAUGGGGGGAACCCUGAUGCAGCGACGCCGCGUGGGUGAAGGAGUACUUCGGUACGUAAAGCCCUAUCAGCAGGAAAGAAAAUGACGGUACCUGACUAAGAAGCCCCGGCUAACUACGUGCCAGCAGCCGCGGUAAUACGUAGGGGGCAAGCGUUAUCCGGAUUUACUGGGUGUAAAGGGAGCGUAGACGGCCAAGCAAGCCAGGGGUGAAAGCCCGGGGCCCAACCCCGGGACUGCCCUUGGAACUGCUUGGCUGGAGUGCGGGAGGGGCAGGCGGAAUUCCUGGUGUAGCGGUGAAAUGCGUAGAUAUCAGGAGGAACACCGGCGGCGAAGGCGGCCUGCUGGGCCGCGACUGACGUUGAGGCUCGAAAGCGUGGGGAGCAAACAGGAUUAGAUACCCUAGUACAC
rnacentral:rRNA from 1 species